rnacentral:snRNA from 1 species
GAGCAGGUGGUCUGGCUAUGACAUCUGUCACCCAUUGAUCACCAGGGCUGAUCUGGCUGGUGAGGCAGGUGCCCUCUUCCUCCCUCACCAGUGCCCCCCUUUCUCCCUCCCUACUUCACGUGAAGCCCUCUGAAGCUGCAAGCUUAGUCAAAGAGGAUGACCUUCCUGAGAGUGUCCACUGUUCUUAAGUCAAGGGUGUACAAGCAGCCUUGCUCCCCUGCUAGAACUUCCAAACAGACAGUCAAAAAGAACAGGAUUAUGGGACAUGUGAGAGAUAAAAGUCUCUGAGUUUAAGGACGUUACCUAGAUAGUUCAUGUG